rnacentral:rRNA from 1 species
CCUCAAAGUAAUCUCCCUUCAGUUCUCACCUGGUGUCCCACUGAAGAUAAGCAGGGUUGAGUCUGGUCAGUACCUGGAUGGGAGACCUCCUGGGGAAAACUAAGGUUGCUGCUGGAGGU